rnacentral:rRNA from 1 species
CCUACGGGAGGCAGCAGUGAGGAAUAUUGGUCAAUGGGCGAGAGCCUGAACCAGCCAAGUCGCGUGAGGGAUGACGGUCCUAUGGAUUGUAAACCUCUUUUGCCGGGGAGCAAAGUGCGGCACGUGUGCCGCUUCGAGAGUACCCGGAGAAAAAGCAUCGGCUAACUCCGUGCCAGCAGCCGCGGUAAUACGGAGGAUGCGAGCGUUAUCCGGAUUUAUUGGGUUUAAAGGGUGCGUAGGCGGAGGCUUAAGUCAGCGGUAAAAUUUCGGGGCUCAACCCCGUCGAGCCGUUGAAACUGGGUGGCUAGAGUGGGCGAGAAGUAUGCGGAAUGCGUGGUGUAGCGGUGAAAUGCAGAGAUAUCACGCAGAACUCCGAUUGCGAAGGCAGCGUACCGGCGCCCAACUGACGCUGAGGCACGAAGGCGUGGGUAUCGAACAGGAUUAGAUACCCGUGUAGUC